rnacentral:lncRNA from 1 species
AUACAUUCUGUGUCGAUCGUGGUUGCUGACUUAUCUUCUGUUUUCUUCACUUAUGUUUAUUAAUUCAAAUAAUAGAAGUAAUGAGUAAUUAUUAUUGACGUUGGAAAUUCUCUCUCCUUAGGUGUGUCUUCUUUAUAAUGCGUUCGUGAGUUUGUUAGAGAAGAGUGUUAGUUUAAAACAAGUCUCUGUUUCUAGUUUUUCGAUUCAGUCCUGUGUAACAGUGUAGACUAAGGCCUUUUUGAAAACUGUAUUUGUUUUUUUUUUUUUAAACUUGUAUGCCGCAGAGCACAUUUAGAAGUGUUUGUAAUUGAGCAUGAUUUUUUUUAUAAGCUUUUUCUUGAGCACUUGAAUAGAGCAUUUGAAGGAAAAAAAAAAAAGACGAUGCGAAAGCAUGUGUUACAUUAGCAGAUUUUUAUGAGUUUCUAAACUAGAACACUUGUUCUGUAAAUAUUUUUUAGAACUAAACUGAUUUUGUAUGAGAAAUUGAUUGUUGUCUGGUGUAGACUAUUUUUAAAAGCUUAUUUUAAAAUAAAAAAUGAGAAGCUAUUAAAUAGACCCUGAGUUUUUUCUCUUCUCUUCGGUAUUGCAUGGUGAGCUUGAUUACUGGUAGAAGACCUAGACAGACAAUUCAUUUACUAGUUGCUGUAGGCUAUUCAAUUAUACAUUUAUGGGUUUUCAUGAUUUUGCAUAUUAUGCUAAUGUGUGUGUGUGUGAUAUAGGCUACGCAUUUUUUUGGAGUCAUACAGAAAACAGACUAUUAAUAUGAUUGGUUCAAUUUUAGCCUUCUAUAAAUUUGUAAUAUUUUUGGUGUGCAAGUCAUCUCUAUAAAAUUUAAAUUUUAUAAACCACAAUAAUAUUGAUAGUUUAAGUAUGAAUCAAAUGUUUUAAAUGUUGGGACAUGAAAACAUCGUUUCUCAAUGUCCCACUAUAAGCACCAUGAUUUUGUUGGAAGGUGGUUAAGAUCAAAGUGAACAUUGUUUAGUGUUUAGGCUUGUUUAGUUUGAAGCAUCAUGAGAAUGAUUUGUUUAGGGUUUAGACUCAAGUUUGGGCAAUUCCAUUGGAAGAGCUACUUGUACUUGGCAUAUAAAUAUAG